GUUACCAAGAUGGCGGCUUAGUGGACUUCAGUUUUUGCAAAAUCAAAUGUAAUUGUUGUAUGAGCAUUAGUUAGUACAACGUGGAUACAAUAACAAGUUGGCAUGCCACGUUUGUGUGCUUUCUGCGGCUGUAAUAAUCGAGUGGGCUGUGGGCUUUCGUUUUUCGCAUUCCCAAAGGACAGUACAAGGAGGCGGAAAUGGCUUCUUAAUUUGAUGAGGGCAGACUUAUCCCCCGACAUGACGAGAGAAGAGUCCGACAGAGCUGGGUAUGUGGUCUGCGAACAACAUUUCAGGCCAAAGGACAUAAACUCAAAGGGUAGAAGAAAACGUCUGGCUCCUGAAGCCGUCCCCAUCCUUCUGCACACUAUAAAGGAGGAACAGAGAGAUUUGGAGAUGCCUUCUACUGAUGUUCAUGCUCCAGUGCCUCUGCAAGACACACCCCCAUAUGAACAGGUCGUGGCAAUGUUUAACAAGCUGCUGGCAGAGAAGGAUGAGAAAAUCAAGGAUCUGAAAAGCAUUCUGCAGAGAGAGAGGGCCAGAAUGCGGCUGAUGAAGUUCCGCAUGAACAGCAAAAUCAGAGAACUGAAAAGAAAACUCGAACAGCAGCAGAACAGUAGCAGUGACCAAGGCGAUCAGCUGACUGCUGCCUCCGACUGCCUUCCACAGGCAGCAAAGGAGUUUUUUGACAAGCAAAUAGCCAUGGCCAAGUUACCGUCUUCAACCACUCUGAGGAGGCACCAGGUGGUCAGUCAGGAAGCGAGUCCAAGUGAAGAGGAGGAUCGGGAGCCUUUGGGAUGGCCUGCCAGUCAGAAGGACACACCAGGUGACCCAGAGAGAGGUGAGGAGGUGAAACUUGCUGAUGUAGCUGGAUGGGUGGUGCAGAAAGUGGCUCAAGAUCCAGAAGUCAGUGCUUGUACCGAAUGUGAAAGUUUGCUUGUGGAGACCAAUGACACAGAGCACAACUAUCACACACGGAUGGAGAAGGAUGCCGUCUCAGCUGUGAAGAAAAGCCCAACCUCUGCCCGGCUGCUUCAUCCAUCCGAAGCUUUCAAAGAAUGCAUUUCGAAAUGUGACAGCGUCAUCCAAAAAAUCCCCCCAAAUGCAAUGGCCCCGAAGAAAUUAAAGGCCUACCUCAGAGCCAGCGGUGCUUUCAGUGAGCUCCACCGCAUCCAUCCUGCCCACUCAAAGGCCAUCGAGAGGGUCGCCGUGAAUAAAUAUGUGAUGUGCAGGGUGGUGGCCGAGCUGAAGGAAACAGCACAAAACAGAAAACGCACACAUGAGAAAAAAAGUGCUGCGUGUCAAGAGCUAAAUGUUAGCACCCUUGAAGUAAAUCAGGACUAAAUAAAUAUAAAAUGUUGUUAAUUUGAUAAUAAAUUAUUUUAGGCCAUUCUAACUUGUCUGUGUUGUUUCAAGCUUUCCUCCAUUUGACCUAGACGCAUUUAGUUUUUCAAUUUCAGUUCAAUUUUACAUAGUGCCGUGCCCAAAGGCACUUAUUGUAAGGUAAAGACGCUGCAAUAAUACAAAGAAACCCCCAACAAUCAGC
ensembl:lncRNA